rnacentral:lncRNA from 1 species
UUUUUUUUUUAAUUUUUCCAUUAUAAAUAUUUUUAUUUCUAUAUAAUCAGAGUUUCUAUAAAAAAUAAAAAAUAAAAACCCUGAGAUUGAUCAGCAUGCUUCAUGGAAAGAUAAGGCUAUUGAUAUUGAAUCCAAGAAGCAAAUGGACAAAAAAAUUUUGAACUUCUGCGCAUCCCAAAAUUAGCGAGAAGGGUUGCUUGAUUUUAAUCGCUCUUGAUUAAGAAAUUCAUGUACUUUGCACUUGGUCUUCUUCUCGUAAUGAUCAUUCUUGUACGAUAAUUUCCAGUUUACACCUUCUUGGAUGCUUACAAACGAGGGACUUUAGCAAGACUCCCUCUAUCCUCCCUCUCUAUCUCCU